UCUCUUCCUUUAAGGUUGGGCUCAGGGUUGGCUGCAAGAGGAACUGCACAAGGUUCAAGAUUCAGAAGAUGGAAGAGAUGCGGCGGCCACCACCCCGGGAAGGACCACCCACCGUCAUUCCCACGGCAUCCUGCUGUGCUCAGCUCCACGUGGGACAAAUACCAGGAGUGCUGAGGACCAGGCAUGACAGCUCUAUGAUGACGCCCAGUGAGUCCCUCUCGUGGACACCGUGGGGUGGCCCUCCUGUCAUUGGAUGUUACGUGGCAAAGCAGAGAUGACCCGUCCAGCUGGUACCUCCCCGGUCACAGGCCCGUCUUCCCGGAGACUAAACACCUGCGGGCGCAGAAUCGUGGUGCCUCCUCCCAGUUCCUGGCUCAUGGGUGAUGAGUCUGAUCCAUUUCACCUGCCGGCACUAAUCAAGGUCAUUUUCAGAUUCGCACGUCCUCCAAGCCGCAUGGAGCCUGAACAGCAAGAUGUUUACCCGAGCUGUUUCCAGGAGCUUGGAGUCAGCUGCGUCUGUGUGAGGUCAGCCAGUUAAGAUGCACCAGCGUCGUGGGGUGACCUUUGGAAGGUGCGGAGCCUGAAGCCUAGUGACACCUGCGCAGAAUGACGAUUAUCACACCUUUUCCCAAUCACCUCUCCCCACGCUCCCCACGCUUCAGACCGCCUUGCUGCUUGAUUCGUUAUGCCAUAAAGACCCCAGGCCCUCGCUUUCGGGGAGGUGGAUUUGAGAUUUUUUCUCCCGGUUCCUCGCUCGGCUGCUUUGUGAAUAAAUCCUUUCUUUGCUGCAAACCCCGGCGUCUCGGCUCCUGCGUGUCUGGCAAAAUGAA